UGAAUACUGAUCUCCUUUUCUGUUUGCAGAACACAGAAGAACUGAUACACAGCUUCCAUGCCCAAGCCCAGGUGGUCCUGCUGUAUUCAUAUUUCCUCCCAAACCCAAGGACUUCCUCUCUGUGACCGGCACCCCUAAGGUCACCUGUGUUGUUGUGGAUCUCGGCUUCGAAGACAAAGAUGAAAACCCUGUUGUCACUUGGUACCAAGGUGACAAGGAACUUCCCAAGUCAGGAAGUGUAGAACCACCACCCAAGGAACAGAGGAAUGGCACCUAUCGUUUUGUCAGUGAGCGGGAGGUGUCCAGCAAGGAUUGGCUGGACCAGAAAGUAUUCAAAUGCAAAGUGCAGCACAAAAAUUUUCCAUCGCCAGUCAUGAAGACGAUCUCCCAUACCGCAGGCACACGCAAGGCUCCGGAGGCCUAUGUCUACUCACCUCACCGAGAUGAGUUGAACAAAGACACUUUCAGCCUCACCUGUAUGAUCUUGGACUACUACCCCGAAUCAAUCACCGUCGAGUGGCUACAAGAUGACAAACCGGUACCUGAGGCAGACUAUGCCAGCACCCUGCCACAGAUGCAUGGGAGUACCUUCUUCAUGUACAGCAAGCUUGAUGUGCAGAAGGCAGAUUGGCAGAGAGGAAGGACCUAUACCUGCUCAGUGAAGCACGAGGCCCUGCCCCAGAAAUUUCUGCAGAAGACGGUAUCCAAAAAUACUGGUAAAUGAGAGCUGCUUAGAACAUCGAGAAACCCCAUCCUCUUACCCCACCUGCAUCUCCUCCUGACCCAGGACCAGCCCGGCUCCCGCUUCCCCAUCUGCUGUCUGUGCUUGUCCCCCACCCCUUCCACCCCCACUCCGGGUCCUUGGGGUCCAAAACGAGGAGAAUUCCCCAUGUAAAUUCCUCCCGUGACCCUAAAGCAUGAUAAUAAACACCCCACCGCCACACCUGAAA